GGCUCUCUGUUUACAUAAAUAUAGGGAGUCGAGCCUGCCCAGUGAAUUUUUAAACGGCCGCGGUACUCUGACCGUGCAAAGGUAGCAUAAUCAUUUGCCUUAUAAUUGAAGGCUAGUAUGAAUGGUUUGACGAGAGCAACACUGUCUCCUUUUUAUUUUCAAGAACUUAACUUUUAGGUGAAGAGGCCUAAAUUUUAUUGAAGGACAAGAAGACCCUAUCGAGCUUAAAAGACAUUAUAGAAGUUUAUAUAUUUCUAAAUAAAUUUUCUAUUGAGCUUUUUAGUUGGGGCGACUAAGGAACAAAAAAAGCUUCUUGCUAAUAAUAGACAGUCAUGUUUAGAUCCGAUAAUAAUCGAUCAAAGGAAUUAGUUACCGUAGGGAUAACAGCAUAAUCUCUCUUGAGAGACCUAAUCGAAAGAGGGGGUUGUGACCUCGAUGUUGGACUAGAAUAUCCUAAAGAUGCAGAAGUCUUUGAAGGUCGGUCUGUUCGACCGUUAAAAUUCU
rnacentral:rRNA from 1 species